CGCGGGGCCGGGGCCGUGCGAGGGCGGCGGGAGCGGCGGCGGCGCGGGGCCGGGAGCGGCGGAGGGGGAAGUGUGGAGGGCGCCGGGAAGUGCGAGGAGUCAUGAAGUGCGGGAACAGAUGCUAGGUUAGCAGGAUGUCCAUGGAAGAGAGGAAAAGAAAUGUGUCAGCUCAAGGAAAUACGAGCCAGUGCUCCGAGUUUGAUUCCAUUCCCCAUCACAACUCAGUUGCGAUGAAAUGCCAAAUAUUAAACAUAUGGAGGAUCUAAAUUAAAAAGCAGAAGUCUCCAGCAGCUACACAGGAAUCAAGAAAGAGCAGUCAUGAAUGAGCACUGUCUAUCUCACUCCAAGGACAAAAUAAGUGAAUCUGCAUCUCUGAGUUACUGAACACCUCGCAUGCUGAACCACCCCUGUGACCUCCUACCGCCUUC